rnacentral:rRNA from 1 species
AGAGUUUGAUCCUGGCUCAGAUUGAACGCUGGCGGAAUGCUUUACACAUGCAAGUCGAACGGCAGCACGGGAGCUUGCUCCUGGUGGCGAGUGGCGAACGGGUGAGUAAUAUAUCGGAACAUAUCCUAUCGUGGGGGAUAACUAGUCGAAAGACUAGCUAAUACCGCAUACGUCCUGAGGGAGAAAGCGGGGGCUCGCAAGACCCCGCGCGAUUGGAGUGGCCGAUAUCUGAUUAGCUAGAUGGUGAGGUAAAGGCUCACCAUGGCUUCGAUCAGUAGCUGGUCUGAGAGGAUGAUCAGCCACACUGGGACUGAGACACGGCCCAGACUCCUACGGGAGGCAGCAGUGGGGAAUUUUGGACAAUGGGCGAAAGCCUGAUCCAGCCAUUCCGCGUGAGUGAAGAAGGCCUUCGGGUUGUAAAGCUCUUUCGGCAGGAACGAAACGGCGGAUAUUAAUACUAUCCGUUACUGACGGUACCUGAAGAAGAAGCACCGGCUAACUACGUGCCAGCAGCCGCAGUAUAC